UUUCGAUUCCUGGUCUUGAAUUCUCCUGCUUGAGUGAAUUCGUCCUGUUCACCUUUCCAAAGGAACUCAUCAGUAGGAUAUCUGGGGAGCCCGUCCCUGGCUUCUUCCCACUGUGUCGGGCCAUGGGGCAUUUGGAGGUGCACUGUGGUGCCCAGGCGUUUGAGUGGGAGAAGUUGCCAGCACAUUUCAGUCCAAUCAGACCCACCGGCCACCGGCCUUUGAGUGGGGAGCUGUCCCUUGUGGGUCUGACUGUCCGGGAGAGUCUGAUGAAACCCCUUUAGAACCCUGACACCAACCAGUGGACACUUUCCCCUUUUCUCUGAAGAAAAACAGGAAUGGCUUCUGAGCCAUUGUACUUAAGUGAGUCACUCCAAUAUCCUGUGUGCACUGCUCCCAGAAAUGCAGCAAACAGAACAUGUAAUGCUACAUAAAUUCCUGCGAGAAAUUUCUUUGUCCAGAAA